GAUGAACGCUAGCGACAGGCUUAACACAUGCAAGUCGAGGGGCAGCAUAGAAGUAGCAAUACUUUGGUGGCGACCGGCGCACGGGUGAGUAACGCGUAUGCAACCUACCUAUCAGAGGGGAAUAACCCGGCGAAAGUCGGACUAAUACCGCAUAAAACAGGGGCACCGCAUGGUGAUAUUUGUUAAAGAAAUCCGCUGAUAGAUGGGCAUGCGUUCCAUUAGGUAGUUGGUGAGGUAACGGCUCACCAAGCCGACGAUGGAUAGGGGAACUGAGAGGUUGGUCCCCCACACUGGUACUGAGACACGGACCAGACUCCUACGGGAGGCAGCAGUGAGGAAUAUUGGUCAAUGGGCGAGAGCCUGAACCAGCCAAGUCGCGUGAAGGAAGAAGGAUCUAUGGUUCGUAAACUUCUUUUGCAGGGGAAUAAAGUGCAGGACGUGUCCUGUUUUGUAUGUACCCUGAGAAUAAGGAUCGGCUAACUCCGUGCCAGCCGCCGCGGUAA
rnacentral:rRNA from 1 species